UUGGCCACAAAAGUGCUGGAAUUACAGGCGUGAGCCACUGAGCCUGGCCUGUGUUUUAAAUUUAAUCCUUACUAUAACCCUACAGGUAAGAAUUAUUUCCCCCAUGUUCUACAGGAAGAAACUGAGGCACGGAGAGGUUGGAGAAGUACUGGCCAGAUCAUGUAGAACUAGAAUAUCAAGGUAAUGAGUUUAAAUUUCAUUCACUACAAAGUGGAGAGGCAAUAAAGAAUUUAAAACUAGAGAGUAAUGUGAUUCAAUAUACAAUUUAAAAAGAUGAAUCUGAGGUACUGUAAAGACAGACUAAAGAGGGACAACACUAGAGAUAAGGAGAUGGGUCAGGACACUAAUCUAACACUCCAGUUGAGAAAUUAGGAAGGCCUUUGGUAUAGUGAGAAGGGGACAGAUUUGAGGGAUUAUCAGAAGGUGGAAUUUACAGGACAAGGUCAGAAAGUAAAUUCCCACAGGGAUUAAGUGAGAAACAUACUGAAUCUAAUGGACCAGCAUAAAUAAUAGGGAGUGGCAAACUGGAGAAUCCAGGAAUGCACGAUCACCCAAUUUUUCAAGAGAAACUAGACAUUUUAACUUUUAUUUGAAAUCUCCUAAUUUUUAUUUUUCUUCUUUUUUUUAAAAUUUGUAUUACUUGUUUACAUUAUUUUUUAUUCAUUUUUUUAAUAUUCUUUUUUCUUUCUUGACGCAUCUUUAAUAGUAAUAGCAGAAAAUGAAAUCUCCUAAUUUUUAAAUCUUCACAGCCAAUCUCAACAUUAGAAAAGCAAUCUCAAGGCCAAAUGAAACAUGCCUGUUGAACCAAGUUCUUCUGGGCCAACAAUUUUAACCUCUGCAUAAGCCCCCAAGAAAGCUGACUAAAAUCACAGAAAAACUGGGCAGUAGUGAGGUCUCAGCUAAGAUAAUGAACCACAAAUUUCUAGUGGUAAAAUCCAGCAGCCAUGAUGAAGGAGCAAAGAAAAGGCACAGGCAUUAACUGAUCUAAGCCUCGGUUCCAAACCUGAGUGGUUUGAAAAAGGAUUAAAGAAUCAUGCUAUAUACGGUAUAAUCUUCAAAUCUCUCAAGAACUCCAUGGAGAUCAGGCUUAUUAUCCCCAUUUUACUGAUGAGGAAACUUAGUAAUUCAUCCAUUAUUACAAUUAAUAAGUUGUCUUAUGUGGAUUUGAGAAAGUGUAGAACUCAUGCUCUUCCCACAUUCCAUGUCGCCCCUGGCAAAAGGAAUGUCUGAAAGAAGUGGAAUGCACAGAAGCCAAGAAAGACUAACAGAAUCUUUAGAUUCCUGCAAAUCAGAGAGCUGAGAGUCCUCUCAAGUGGGACACAGCAAUGUUCAGUGUACAUUCUCCACCUUAGAGAGAUCAGCACUCGGCUACAAGGUAGUGCUGUGUCAUAUGACACUAAUCCUCAUAAAUACUCAACAUCGAAAGACUUCUUUGGAGAAGUUCAAGGUACCUGAGACCAAAACAGGUCUUGUCUCAUGGACUCUGAACUCUGCAGACUGUUCCUCAUUGUUCAGGUCGCAGCUGAAUGUCAGGUUCCGAGAUUCCACUCUACAUAAGUAACUCCAUCACCAGAGGCUCAUAACUGAUGAGGAAUUUUGCCUUGGGAUGAAUUGUUCCUUGCAUCUCGCCCAUAUCUGAUCCAGCCUACAAAGGAGAGCUCACUGCAGGCCUGGAGUAAUCAGGGAAAUUUCUCACUGAUGAGGAGUCAGCAUGCAAAAUCACGGCAACCCAGGCAAAGCAAUCAUCGACAUAUCAAGACACAGAGAGUAGCUGCAGUUCCCUCCCUCUGCCCUUCCAUCAAAACAAGCAACCAAAUGGGACAUCCUUUAAACCUAGUGUUUGCUUCUUUCUUAAUACUUUAGGGUUCCUUUGUGCUCUGGCCUGGGUUUGUAGGAAACACAGGAAGGAAGAGGAGGAAAGAGCUGGA